GUGUCAGCCGCCGCGGUAAUACGGAGGGUGCGAGCGUUAUUCGGAAUUACUGGGCGUAAAGCGCGUGCAGGCGGUUUGGCAAGUCUGAUGUGAAAGCCCCGGGCUUAACCUGGGAAGUGCAUUGGAAACUGCCGGACUUGAGUACUGGAGAGGAAGGGGGAAUUCCCGGUGUAGAGGUGAAAUUCGUAGAGAUCGGGAGGAAUACCAGUGGCGAAGGCGCCCUUCUGGACGGUUACUGACGCUGAGACGCGAAAGCGUGGGGAGCAAACAGGAUUAGAUACCCUGGUAGUCCACGCUGUAAACGAUGAGCACUAGGUGUAGCGGGUACUCAUUCCUGCUGUGCCGCAGCUAACGCGUUAAGUGCUCCGCCUGGGGAUUACGGUCGCAAGACUAAA
rnacentral:rRNA from 1 species